rnacentral:rRNA from 1 species
CCUACGGGGGGCAGCAGUGGGGAAUUUUGCGCAAUGGGGGCAACCCUGACGCAGCAACGCCGCGUGAGUGAUGAAGGCCUUCGGGUCGUAAAGCUCUGUCAGAGGGGAAGAAAUGCAGGUGGUGAACAACCAUUCUGUUUGACGGUACCCUCAAAGGAAGCACCGGCUAACUCCGUGCCAGCAGCCGCGGUAAUACGGAGGGUGCGAGCGUUGUUCGGAAUUAUUGGGCGUAAAGCGCGUGUAGGCGGUUUGUUAAGUCGGAGGGAAAAGCCCCGGGGUCAACCGGGGAAGUGCAUUGGAUACUGGCAGACUUGAGUACGGGAGAGGGGAGUGGAAUUCCCAGUGUAGGAGUGAAAUCCGUAGAUAUUGGGAGGAACACCGGUGGCGAAGGCGGCUCUCGGGACCGAUACUGAGGCGGA